AACGAACGCUGGCGGCAUGCCUAACACAUGCAAGUCGAACGAUACCUUCGGGUCUAGUGGCGCACCGGUUCGUAACGCGUGGGAACCUGCCCUUAGGUUCGGAAUAACCCCCCGAAAGGGGUGCGAAUACCGGACAAUGUCUUCGGCCCAAAGAUUGAUGGGCUUUGGAUGGGCCCGCGUUGGAUUAGCUAGUUGGUAGGGUAAAAGCCUACCAAGGCGACGAGCCAUAGCUGGUCUGAUAGGAUGAUCAGCCACAAUGGGACUGAGACACGGCCCAGACCCCUACGGGGGGGAGCGGAAUGGAGUAUUGGGCACUGAGCGCAAGCCUGGUCCAGCAAUGCGGCGUGAGUGAGCAAGCCCUUAGUGUUGUAAAGCUCUUAUGCCAGAAAUGAUAGUGACAGUACCGGGAGAAUAAGCUCCGGCUAACUCCGUG
rnacentral:rRNA from 1 species